UACGAAGGGGGCUAGCGUUGCUCGGAAUCACUGGGCGUAAAGCGCACGUAGGCGGAUUGCUAAGUCAGGGGUGAAAUCCUGGAGCUCAACUCCAGAACUGCCUUUGAUACUGGCGACCUUGAGUCCGGGAGAGGUGAGUGGAACUGCGAGUGUAGAGGUGAAAUUCGUAGAUAUCGAGAGGAACACCUGCGGCGAAGGCGGGUUGCUGGGCCGACACUGACGCUGAUGCGCGAAAGCCAGGGGAGCGAACGGG
rnacentral:rRNA from 1 species